rnacentral:rRNA from 1 species
UACGUAGGGGGCAAGCGUUGUCCGGAAUCAUUGGGCGUAAAGAGCGUGUAGGCGGCUUGGUAAGUCCGCUGUGAAAGUCCAGGGCUCAACCCUGGAAAGCCGGUGGAAACUGUCAAGCUUGAGUCCGGAAGAGGCGAGUGGAAUUCCCGGUGUAGCGGUGAAAUGCGUAGAGAUCGGGAGGAACAUCAGUGGCGAAGGCGGCCACCUGGGCCUAACCUGACGCUGAGGCGCGAAGGCUAGGGGAGCGAACGGG